UCAAGAGCAGCAGAGAUUUUUGUAGAAUUGCUUUUGUUUAGGAGAUUGACAGUAGUGAAGAUAGAAUAAAAUAUAAAUUUUAAUAUAAUUCUGUUGUCAUGCAUUUGACAAUCAUCAUUUCAUAUUUUAUUUAAUAUUUUUAAUAGUUGGUCUUAGAAUUCCUGCAAUCUUUAUACCUGGUGCUAUCAUGAUAAGUGGUAUGUCAUCUAUUACUGUUUUUACUUACCUGUGAUAAAGAUUCGGGUUGUGGGUUAAUAUCUUAUUGUUUCUCCACAGUAUUGAACUAUGUGAAAAAAUAAUACAUUUGUUUCCGCUAAUCCGAUCUACCCUAAUUUUUAGUGCCUACCCAUUACUCUUUUUAUGCCAUUUUGAAACAAGCACUGUUAAAUUCAGAUUGAUUCCCCAUUAGUAACCAGUUAAAAUAAUAGGAUAUUGCCUUCCUACCUUCCCUAUUUUUUUUCAUAUAUUUUUAGCGGAAAAUG
rnacentral:lncRNA from 1 species